AGUUAGCCCCAACUCUAACCCUAACACAACCCCCAGCGUUAGCCCCAACUCUAACCCUAACACCACCCCCAGCGUUAGCCCCAACUCUAACACCACCCCCAGCGUUAGCCCCAUCUCUAACACCACCCCCAGAGUUAGCCCCAACUCUAACCCUAACACCACCCCCAGCGUUAGCCCCAACUCUAACUCUAACACCACCCCCAGAGUUAGGGGUGGAGUCUGUCCCUCUCUGUCUGUCUCUCUUUCUCUUUCUGUCUCUCUCUCUCGCCGUCUCUAUUUCUGUCUCUCUCUCUGUCUCCCUCUCUCUUUCUCUCUCUCUCUCUCUCUCUUUCUCUCUGACUUUCUGUCUCUCGCUCUCUCUCUCUCUGGCUGUCUAUCUCUCCAUCUGUCCCAAGGGACCUAUUCAGUGUAAUAAAUACUGUCUGUCUCUUUCUCUCUCUCUCCUGCUUUUGCUCUUGCUCUCUCUCUCUCUCUCUCUCUCUCUGGCUCUCUCUCUCUCUGUCUCUGUUUAUGUCUGUCUCUGUGUGUCUCUGAUUCUCACUCUCUCUGUGUGUGUGUCUCUCUCUCUCUCUCUCUCUCUCUCUCGCUCUCUAUUUCUCUCUUUCUCUCUGUGUCUCUGUCUCUCUCUCUCUGUGUUUCUCACUCUGUCUCUCUCUCUGUCUGUCUCUGUCUCUCUGUCGCUCUGUCUCUCUGGCUCUGUCUCUCUGGCUCUGUCUCUCUGUCUCUCUGUCUCUCUCUCUGUCUGUGUUUCUCACUCUGUCUCUCUCUCUCUCUCUCUCUGUCUCUCUGUCUCACUCUCUCUGUCUCUCUGUCUCUCUCUCUGUCUCUCUGUCUCUGUCUCUCUGUCUCUCUGGCUCUGUCUCUCUGGCUCUGUCUCUCUGGCUCUGUCUCUCUCUAUCUCUGUCUCUGUCUCUCUGUCUCUGUCUCUCUCUUUUUAUGAGGUGUUAAAUUGCAUCCACGUGCUACUACAGCAGCAAGAUGUGAUGCAAUGUUUCUGAUUUCGACAUGAUCAGUCCAGUAACUCAUAUUCCACCUUAAACCAGAACUUUACAUUUUUUUUAGAACUAAUUUAGUCAUGUUUAUGUGUCAUAGAAGCUGCAUUCCAUCUGGUAACUGUGUGUGUGUCCACCCACUAGCAGGGUGAAACAGUUUGGUAAGAAGGGACAUGAUGCUGAAGCACGACUUUCAUUUCCUCCUCAGAAUAAACUCUCUGACCUCCUCUGUCCUUGGGGGAAGGACAGUCUACUGCAUAAUGUAUGACAUAGUCUACGGUGUAAUGUUUAACAUAGCCUACUGUAUUACAGUCUACUGUAUAACAUAGCC
rnacentral:lncRNA from 1 species